UUAGCAGUACUCUUUGCUAGUGUGGAAAUUUUGUCUGGCCUUCUGGUUAGCUAAAUUAAGUAGAUGUAUUUUUUGUCAAGGGGGUGUUCUUGUAUAAAAACAAAAUGCAUUGGCGUCACCAUUCGACCCCAAGAAAAAAUUGUGUUAAUGGUAUUAGGUGAAGAAAGUAAACAAGCAAAGCAAAAAGAACCAUUCUAUUAAUCAGAGAGCAUCUCAUGAAUGUCAUGCAACCUCAAGUUCAACUUUGGGAUGAUAAGCCGGAAGGCAAGAGUUCCGAGACCAUCCCGGUCUGUGGCGAUGGGCAAGAACAAGCUCAUCAGCAUCUGCAACACAAAAAUCUGCACUUCAUGAGUGGGGAAUGUGAUCGACCAAAUUUACAUUAUUCGAAUCCAUGUGUCUAUUUUAGCAUCCUACAUCGUGAUCAUGCGCCUUAUCUGAUCACAUUAAUUGCUUCCAUAUCUUUCUUAUCUGAACCCCAGCAAAUUCACGGCUGUGGUGUGUCGGCAGAUAUGCGCUACCGAACGAACGGUCCAAGUCAUGGAACAGAUUCUUCCGGAGGCUAAUCGUAGGCGUUGGCGACGAGGAUCCGCGCCCGCGAAUUGACGCGCAAGUGACGGGCAGCGUGGAGGCCCAAGGAACGGCUGGGGGCCGUCCAACCCCCACUCGUUCCGUGGCGAACGACAUGCACGGCCGUGUGACUAGGAGGGAGACAAGAGCGGGCUAGCGUUCGUCGGAUUGGGCGAGGCCACGUGAACAGCCACGCUCCUUCACGUGAGGGCGGGACGCCGGCCCCACCGGCUGUUGGGAAAACAACAUGUGCUCCUUUUCGUUUGCUUUUCUUAAAAGCUCCAAGACGGAACAGGAGUGGGAAGUCCCUUUCAUUCUCUCCUGAAGCCCUCCUAUUAUAUAUAUGAGCACAAACGAGGCAUCUCUGCCCACAGCUUUGGACAUCAUCUUGUUGAGAGAGAGAGAGAGAGAGAGAGAGAGAGAGAGUUCUUCGGAUGGUAGAGAUAUUUCUGGAGAUCUCCAGAUCUCUCGCAGACAGAGAGAGAGAGAGAGAGUUCUUCGGAUGGUAGAGAGAUUUCUGGAUAUCUCCAGAUCUCUCGCGCAGAGAGAGAGAGAGAGAGAGAGGGAAACGAGUGUUCUUCAGAUGGUAGAGAAAUUUUGUACUACAAAUUAGAGAGUUUCAUAUUUCCACUGCCGAUAUGUUGCAGCCCAAGAUGGUUUCUGAUGGCGGAGGGAGAGGUGUGUCUGUUGUGUGUGUGCGAGAGAAAGGGGAACGUGUGUUGCUCAAAAUGGUUUCAGUUGGCACAGAGACAGAAUGUGUGCUUGUACGAGAGAGAGAGAGAGCGAGAGAGAGAGAGAGGGUAUGCGCGUGCGUGUAAGUGUGUGUGUGGGUGAGUGUGAGAGAGAGAGAGAGAGAGAGCGAGAGAGAGAGAGGGUAUGCGCGUGCGUGUAAGUGUGUGUGUGUGAGUGAGAGAGAGAGAGAGAGAAAGAGAGAGAGAGAGAGAGAGAGAGAGAGAGAGACCUACUGCAAAAAUAUCUUUGAGCCCAAGAUGGUUUCAUAUGGCUGCAUUUGCACCUGCACCUAAAGGGGAGCGGGGUGGCCGUGAAGAAAACGAGUUUACAUCCACCAUGUAGGUGCAGCGGCAAAUGCAACCAUAUGCCAUUUUGGUUUCCUUUCCUACCAUCACACUGCCACCAAAGCACCAAAGGAGGUAACAAAUUGUUUGGGUUUCCCCUCCCCAGAAUCAAGAUCUCCAUCCAGAUUUGUUUUCACAGUACCAAUAAGGGAAAAGACAAGAGCCUAAAACCUCCUUUCUAUGGAGGUUUAGGGGAAGAAAGAGGGACGGAAAGCAAGAGUUAUGCUUAGGCCGAUUUGAGCAGCGGCUAAAUAGAACAGGUUGGAAAAACCAAAACAAACGCCCUCAAUGUUUCACAAGGCUAUACGCUGAGGCUCACUUUGGAGAUCUUUUAGGUUUUGUUUUCCCUUAAUACCUAAGUUGACUGAAGAACUAAUGUUUCUACUCUUUCCUUUCAUUUACGACCACUGUCGGUGUUUGCAUCCUAAAAGAAGUUGAUGCUUACAAACAGAUGGAAUUGACUCAAGUAUCAGAUGCUGCGCGAAGCACCUCGGAAGGUUUUAUAAGGUUUCAUUCGGACAAACUCAAGGGGCCAGUUCUGAUGUGAUAAUGUAGGGGUAGUAUGUAAGAUCUAUGAUAGAUAUGUUAUGUAGUACAUAGCAAUACCGAUAAGCUCAUGAUGCAGAAAAUUAUGAGAGUCCACCUUGUCACACAUCCGGCAGAGUUCUUGCCCAUGUUUCUGAUGGCUUUUCCACAUCGACAAGAACCGACGCUGAGAACAAUGGUUUGUGAUGGUAGAAUGUGGACUCAAACUUUCUCCUGGAAGUCAUAAAACUAGACUCGGUGGAAUGCUCGAAGGAUGAAGGAAUGGCUUGUGAUGGUAGAAUGUGGCAGUCCAGAGACUGGAAAAAGCCGUAUCAUUGCCUGGAGGUUGUCCUGCACGUCACAGUACCGUCGUUGCAUGUUCCACGUGGUCGUGCUUCGGCUGGUGUUGUAGAGUUAGGAAGCUGCUCAAAUGUCUCUGUCGUCCUUAAUGGUGGGAGAAGAUGGACGUCACGUCGCGGCCAACUCGUUGCUGUGAAGACGGCACGGCCAUCGUGCGAUGUCAGUGUUUGGCUUCUCAUAAAAAGAGGGAGAGGUAAGCGGGUUCCAGAUUCCAGAGAGGAAACCAGAAGCCACAGGGAUCCCUGCUGCCUGCCUGCAUGCGUUGUCGUUGAGCGAGCAGCGGAGACAGUGGAUGGGACGUGCAUACUCUCUUUCGAUGUUGGUCAGUGUCCGAUCAUCCAAGACUCCUGUGAAGAUGCCGGUGCUGCACUCAUCCAGAUGAAUAAUUGUAAUAAUAUUUUUUUAUUAUUCCGAUUGUGAUGGAAAAAUCAGAACGCUAAUAGUGGUGGGUGAUGUAGAUCUUUAAAAUCAGGUUUUGUCGAAUUUUAUAUUUUAUUAAUUAUAGAGUAUCUUUUAUAAUUA